rnacentral:rRNA from 1 species
AACGAACGCUGGCGGCGUGCCUAACACAUGCAAGUCGAACGGAAUGAGGGGGCUUGCUCCUUCAUUUAGUGGCGCACGGGUGAGUAACGCGUAGAUAAUCUGCCUGACGAUCUGGGAUAACACUUCGAAAGAGGUGCUAAUACCAGAUAAGCCCACGGGGUCCUUGGACUCUGCGGGAAAAGGAGGGGACUUUCGGGCCUUCCGUCAUCAGAUGAGUCUGCGUACCAAUAGCUAGUUGGUAGGGUAAAGGCCUACCAAGGCGACGAUGGUUAGCUGGUCUGAGAGGAUGAUCAGCCACACUGGAACUGAGACACGGUCCAGACUCCUACGGGAGGCAGCAGUGGGGAAUUUUGCGCAAUGGGGGAAACCCUGACGCAGCAACGCCGCGUGAGUGAUGAAGGCCCUUGGGUCGUAAAGCUCUGACAGAGGGAAAGAAGUGUAUUGUGGCUAAUAUCCACGAUACUUGACGGUACCCUCAAAGGAAGCACCGGCUAACUCCGUGCCAGCCGCCGCCGUAAUAC